CCUACGGGAGGCUGCAGUGGGGAAUAUUGCACAAUGGGCGCAAGCCCGAUGCAGCCAUGCCGCGUGUGUGAAGAAGGCCUUCGGGUUGUAAAGCACUUUCAGCGGGGAGGAAGGCGUUAAGGUUAAUAACCUUGUCGAUUGACGUUACCCGCAGAAGAAGCACCGGCUAACUCCGUGCCAGCAGCCGCGGUAAUACGGAGGGUGCAAGCGUUAAUCGGAAUUACUGGGCGUAAAGCGCACGCAGGCGGUCUGUCAAGUCGGAUGUGAAAUCCCCGGGCUCAACCUGGGAACUGCAUUCGAAACUGGCAGGCUAGAGUCUUGUAGAGGGGGGUAGAAUUCCAGGUGUAGCGGUGAAAUGCGUAGAGAUCUGGAGGAAUACCGGUGGCGAAGGCGGCCCCCUGGACAAAGACUGACGCUCAGGUGCGAAAGCGUGGGGAGCAAACAGGAUUAGAUACCCCGGUAGUC
rnacentral:rRNA from 1 species